UACGGAGGGAGCUAGCGUUGUUCGGAAUUACUGGGCGUAAAGCGUACGUAGGCGGUUACUCAAGUCAGAGGUGAAAGCCCGGGGCUCAACCCCGGAACUGCCUUUGAAACUAGGUAGCUAGAAUCUUGGAGAGGUCAGUGGAAUUCCGAGUGUAGAGGUGAAAUUCGUAGAUAUUCGGAAGAACACCAGUGGCGAAGGCGGCUCACUGGACUGGUAUUGACGCUGAGGUGCGAAAGCGUGGGGAGCAAACAGG
rnacentral:rRNA from 1 species